GCCGUGGAUAUCUAUGGCUCGUCUGAAAUGCUUCAGUGUACCCCGCAGAGCGGCGUAUUCGGUGUGAUACAUCUUCACCGGAGUUGAUCCUUCACGGGGUCGCGUCUGUAACGUGUGGCUCUAUGCUUCCAACCGUCUCUUGAUUGGACAAUCUCUGACAAUUCGACCUCAAAUCGGGUGGGACUACCCGCUGAACUUAA
rnacentral:misc_RNA from 1 species